UCGACCCCUCCGCGUUUCCCCAUCUCGUCCCGAUAGCUCGUUGCCUCCUCCUCUCGUGUUUUUGAUGGUGUUUCUCGGUGGCGCAGGUCGACGGAGAAGAGAGGGAAGGGCUUCCCCGCACGCCCGCCCCAGAUAACUCCACCAGCGAGUUGAUACAGGGGCGAGAGCUUCCCAGCGCGCCCGCCGGCCCAGCUAACUCCACCGGCGAGUUGAUACGGGGGCGAGGGCUUCCCUGCGCGCGCACCCGCCGGCCCCGGCUAACUGGAACGCACGGAUGGGGGCAGCACCACACGGCUCAGAUAAGGCGGGCGCGGCUGCCGUGUCGCAGGCGAAGAUGGACUUGUCGGGGUCAGGGGAGAAGCGGAGCGCGCAGGCGAUGGGGGCGUCCCUGGUGAAGAACUGCAGGAGCCUGACUGCCUGAGCUUUCACACCGACAUCAUGAAUUCAUUUGAGGAUGAGGCAGCAGGGGGAGUGCUGAAGAAAAUAACUCUAGAGAUUUAAUUCAUCGUCAUCGCCGUAGUAGACGGAAAUCACUUGAGGUUCAAAUUCCGGAGCUUGAUAGUGUGGGACAAAUUGCUCCAGGGGUCGACAAUGCGGUUCAGGCGUGGUUUUUUGUCCCCCCAAAGUGGUAAACAUACUAGACGGACAGGUCAAGAGGUUGGAAGAAAUAGACCAUCACCUGCUAGGCUCUUCAAAAUCAACCAAAAGCUUUUUGCCAGAUCAGAUAACAACGAUCAAAGGGAAGCAAUUUGGAGGGUUAUUGAAUAUCAAGGUUCAAUCAAUGUCCAGCGAUUUUAGCAAGUGGCUAAUGAGGUGUUACAAUUCAGAAACAUCAGAAAUUGUUAUACCAAGGAGGGGUAGCAUCCCAGUUAAUGCAGAUAGUGUACAAAGGUUUUUGAUUUACCAAACAAGGCGAGGGAAGUUACUUAUGAGAUGAACCAGGAAGCAAUAAAUUGUGGCCACAUGUGUUCUUGUGUUGCCUGAUUAAUUGUCUUGCCUAGAUUUAGCAUGCGCACUAAAUUAUCCGGCCAGAUUUCAAUUCUGGUGCGUUCCAGGGACUGGAAAGCAUGCAAAAAUUUGUGUCCCCUAGGAGCAACUUGUGUAAAACUGACCCAAGUCAUUGUGUUCUUCUGUUGCUGAUUAAUUUUCGUGGCCAGCUGCAGCAAUUACAUUGAAUUUCCUGAUCAGAUCU